AACCUCGAAACAUCCAAACGAAAAGAAAGAGGAGAAUCAGCAUAAAAAGAUUUAACACUUUGGGGAACUUGAGAGAAAGGAACAGCCUUUACACUCUCUUCUUGUUGCUUUUGGUUCUUCUUUCCUGCUCUCUUUUCUUCGUUUCUUUUCUGUACUUUG
rnacentral:ribozyme from 13 species